AUGCAGCAUCAUAAAUGCAAGGCAGGCAGGCAGGGAUGCCACCUCCUGCACAGGGAGGAAAGGAAAAGCGACGGACCGCAGGGCACAAGAAAGACUACUCCCACACACAUCCCCUUCCCCACGAGAUUCAGCAGGUGGCGGCACAUACGCAAGCUGAGCACAGAAGAAUCGUGCUGCAUACACCUCCACCGAUUCAGAGAGGCAAUGGGUGACAAUAGUACAAACUUGCGGGGGGAAAUUGCAAAACGUGUUACUGCCAGCAUUUCUCCUAAGGCCUUGUUUGACAGCAAGGGAUUGUGGAGGUUUUGGGAGGAGAGGAUUCCAGGGGAUUUGGUGAAUCCCCCUCUUUCACCCAAUCCCUCAAAUCCCCCUCCGUACAAAACACUGUUUGACAGAAAGGGAUUGCCAUAUUGA
rnacentral:rRNA from 1 species